UUGAAAUUGCUCAUCAAGUGCAAAUAGCUCCCAGCCUGGAUGGCUGAGCUGCUCUCCAGCCUCCUCUCUCUGGAGUAAGAAGAUUUCAGCUUGUGACCUGCCCUCGGGACUUGUGGGUGUACAAAGCCUGUGACCCAGGAAACAAAGUCAACGGCUCACUUUGUCCCCACCCCACCCUACCCCGUCUCCCUCCUACUAAAUGCUGAAUCUCACGAGAGAAGAAAACCAGCCACAUAAAGGAUUUGAAAGCUCAACUUGCUUUCCCACUCUGUUAUCCCUGGAGUUGGCUUGGAUUCACCCUGAAGCCUUCCCCCUCCCGGGGAAAGUUGCUUCACGUUGCAGCUCAGCAGGUUUGUCCAGCUACAUAGGCUCCAGAAAACAAGAAGCAAGACUGGAAAGCUGGGGAUGAUUGUACGCCCUCGCCUGAAUCUUACGUGGUUCCUCCUUCUUCCACCUGGCCAGUGCAGAGCCGUGGGUGCCACGUGGCCACUUCUGGAUUGGGUUCCCCUUGGCCUGCCACCCUGUCCUUCUGCUUUCCCACUUUGCCAGCCAGAGUCAAUUUGAGGACGCCAAGUUCUCCUCUCCAUACAGAGAGCUCCUGGUCUCCUUGUAACUUGUAACUCCUGGGCACAGUUACAAGUGCUGAAUUCUUGCGAGGAUGAACUCAAGAUACAAAAUAUGCUUGGCAACUCACCCCUGAGUGGCCACAGGCACACGCAGGAGUCGAACCCACCCACCUCUGCUGACAGUCAUGGGUCAAGCUCAAAGUCCUGGCUGCUUCUCUGCUCAAGGUAAAUUGCCACAGCCUCCGUAACCUUCAGCAGCCACCAUCCUGAUCAGUUAGCAGCCAUCAUCAAGACAAGACCCUUCCCCAGCAUAAACAUUACGGCUUGCUGAAGACUUAGAUCAUAGUUAGCAUUUUUAAGCAAUCAAGUGUUUUAAAAUUAAGGUAUGUACAUUAUUUAUUUAUACAUAAUGCCAUCUUACACUUAAUAGACUACAGUAUAGUGAAAACAUAACCUGUAUAUACACUGAGAAACCAAAAUCUUCAUGUGACUUGCUUUAUUGCAGUGGUCUGGAGGGCCGGCCGCAGGGUGACGGGUGGCAGCCUGGGGCUGUGCAGAUGUGGGUGGCUGAGAAGGGCACUAGGGUGGGGGUGGCUGGAGGAAUUUUAAGUGCUGUGAUGAAAUGGGCACCCUUCUCUGCCCUCCAUCGCCAAGCCCUACACCUCUGCGAAGACUGUGACACAUAAAGUCCUGUGUCAACGGUUGGGCGGGGUUUCACCAUGUUGGCCAGGCUGGUCUAGAACUCCUGAUCUCAAGAGAUCCACCCACCUCGGCCUCCCAAAGUGCUGGGAUUACCUGCAUGAGCCACUGCACCUGGCUUCAGCCCUUUGUUUUAUCCAAGAGAAGGUCAAGAGCAGAUAAAUUGGAUCUGUGCCCGCAGAGAGAGCCUGCUCCAGCCUCUUUGCUACAGCCUUGAGUCUUCUGCUAAGAAAAGACACAGAGGCAAAGAGAAACACAUAGAGAGGAGAAUGCCUCGUGAAAAUGGAGACCGAGAUUGGUGCAAUGUGUCCACAAGCCAGGGAAUGCCAACGUGGCCAGCAACCACCAGAAGCUGGGAGAGAGGCAUGGAACAGAGUCCUCGGAGCCUCCAGAAGGAACCAACCCUGUUGAUACCUUGACUGAAAACUUCCAGCCUCCAGAACUGUGACAGAAUUAAUUUCUGUUAUUUAAAGCCAUUCAGUCUGUGGUAAUUUGUUACAUCAGCCCUGAAUAGCAAAUACAGAUGACCCAGGUUUAAAUCCUAGUUCUGCCACUUAUGAGCGUGGGUACAUAACUACUUUCUAGAGCCCCGGUUUCCUCAUCUGUAAAAAACCUCAUACGGUUAUUAAGAAGAUCAAAUGAGAUACAAACAUAAAUUCUUAACAGUGCUGGCAUGUUAAUUGUUCAAUAAAUAUGAGUUAUUUACAACAAUUGUGAUAGUAAUGAGUAACACAGAGAAAUGAGAAUUGACUUAACAGAGGCUGGCUCGGCAAGCCUCUAUGCCAACAAAAUUUAUUUGGAAAUCAAAAGUAUUUACUUCAGACUGGGCGCAGUGGCUCACACCUGUAAUCCCUGCACUUGAGGUCAGGAGUUGGAAACCAGCCUGGCCAACAUGGUGAAACCUCAUCUUUACUAAGGGAGGAGACCACCCCUCAUAUUGUCUGCAUAUGCCCAGUUUCUGCCUCCAAAGAAAGAAGAAGUAAAAACUAAAAGGCAGAAAUGAAGUCCACAGGCAGACAGCCCGGUGCCACACCCUGGGCUUGGUAGUUAAAGAUCGACCCCUGACCUAAUCAGUUAUGUUAUCUAUAGAUUACAGGCAUUGUAUAGAAAAGCACUGUGAAAAUCCCUGUCCUGUUCUGUUCUGUUAUAAUUACUGGUGUAUGCAGCCCCCAGUCACGUACCCUCUACUUGCUCAAUCGAUCACGACCCUCUCACGCAGACCCCCUUAGAGUUGUGAGCCCUUAAAAGGGACAGGAAUUGCUCACUCGGGGAGCUCGGUUUUUGGAGACGUGAGUCUUGCCGAAGCUCCCUUUGAGUAAGAUGGAGAAGUUUUAUGAGAACCAUAGUGUUGGGGGAAUAUAAAAAUUUUGAACAUUUGCAAUCAUCUGUCAGUCUUGUAAUCCAGUUUCCCAAGGUUGUGACUGAGGAGGUCUGGGGUGGGUUGACAGACCUGCAGAAGGCUGGAGUCUUCUAGUUGAUGAAGAAUGACACUGCACUGCUGUUAAUAAAGCCUUUGAGUUUCUCUGCCUGCUCCCCAGCCAGGUGAGUGCAGUUUGUUUUAUGACUUUCCCAGGGGUGAUCAUCCUCUGAGGACUGAUGCAAUCUUGCCUAACUCCCAACAGGGUGAUUAAUGCCCCAGAAAGCUGAAGUCUUACUUUAUGGUGGGUCUAUAUUUAUCAUGACUGCCCAGGAGAUCUUUGCCUUGGCUUCUCUUCUCCUGAUGAAACCUGGAUGUCAACUGUCCCCCUCUGCUCUGAUUCUAUGGCUCCAUAUCUGAAUGUAGAACUUAGAACCUCCUCAGGUUCUUGUUUUGUUUUUUCUCUUUUUUUGAGACAGAGUCUUGCUCUGUCGCCCAGGCUGGAGUGCAGUGGCGUGAUCUCGGCUCACUGCAGCCUCUGCCUCCUGGGUUCAAGAGAUUCUCAGCCUCCAGAGUAGCUGGGAUUACAGGCUCAUGCCACCACAUCCAGCUGAUUGCACUCCAGCUUGAGCAACAAGAGCAAAACUCUGUCUCAAAAAAUAUAUAAUAAUAAUAAUAAUAAUAAAUAAAAGACUAGCCCUAAACCAUUGUGCAUGUGUGUGUGUAUGUGUGUGUGGCCAGGUGAUAGAACACACUAAUGGCUUUUCUAAGGUUCCUUGGUCCAACUUCUGGAGCUAUGGUGCAACUGGCAUCCCUAGAAGGGAAAAGCAUAAAUGCUAAGGUGGUGGAGCAACCAACAGGAACCCACUUUAUCAUGAAAAAGAUGAAGAGAGGUUAAAUAAACAACCCCAAAUCACACUCCUAGUCAAUAGUGGUUAUGAGUUUUGCACUAAAGUCCAACUGAUCUCCACAGUCAAAGCAUUUGACAAGAAGUCCUCUCAUUGGUAAAUACAAAACCUGUUAUUGAUUGCUGCAUCAUACACUACCCCAAACAAAGUGUGAUAGGAUGCUAGAGAGGAAAAUUUGGAAUUAGCUUUUAAAAGGAAGAGAAAUGACGGUGUAACCAUCUGCCAAAUACAUGGAAACAACAACAACAAAAACCUCAUCAUUCACCUGGCCUGGCAAAUAGGUUUGUGCAUUUUUUUUCUUUUCUGUCCACCCUGUUGUUUGUCAGAGGUUGACCAAGAACUUGUCCAAGGGCCAUUCCUGUGGUGUCACCCAAGUGUUGUAGGUCCUUCUGCACAAAAGUUCCAUACCCUCCCUUCUCCUUUGGUUUUCUAAUUUAAGUGUGAUGAGUAGCAGCCAGCCAAGUGAAAGAAAGGCCUAGGGAUUUCAAAGGAAAGAUACAAGGCUGGCGGCAAAAAGGAAGGGCUUUCUCCUCACUGGGCCCUCUUCAGUGGCUUGAACUGUGAGACUCCUGGAGGUAUCAGCGCUUGGUUCAACCCUAAAAGAAGUUGCAUCAGACAUGGCAACUUUGGCCUGCUUUGCUUGUAUUCUCUGUGGCGAAUGGAGUAUUAAUAAGUGGCUCUCUGGGGAAGUUUGCGCAGCUCAUACUAGAAAACAAAUAGAUACGUAAAGUUCUUGAAUGAUGUAGAUGUGAUGCCAUAUCUGCUCUCCUUCCCAUAAUUUCAGAGAAAAAUCAAGGACGAUGUGUGGUGAACAUAAUUCCUCAUUUUUCCUUUAUCCAUGAAAUAUUUGCUUUAAAGCAGCAGCUAAAACCACAGGUUUUAGUGAGCAGAUUAUUACCUUUCUGAGAGACACAGAGAUUAAGAGAAUGGUCAGUUGCUUGCCACUGAGUAGGGAAAAGGGAGAAAAAUUAUGAUUCAAGGCAUUUUCUCUGCUUCCAGUUAGCUGCUGGGGGGGACUGGAUUAUGCUUCUCCAAUAUCUGAAGGGUUGUUGAGCUGAAGGCAGUAAGAAGCAAAUGCAGGAAAGCUCUCAUCUUCCCCUCUGGUUACCUAAAAGCAGGACAUAGAUUUACAAAGACAAAAGGUACCCUGGCCACCUCCCUCUCCUUACAUUUGCUUAGAGGGAUGAGAGCCUCCUUGCUUGGGGAGGGGAAAGCUAUUGGGGAGGGACAUUACUGGCCUUUUGUCUCCACCUCCCCAGUGGCUGCUCUGGUUGGGUGGACUGAGGGUUCCCUCCUGCAAGUUCCUGCUGAGUGUGGCUGUCCUCAGGAAACCAAGUCCCCUCUGCGGCCCUACGUGAAGAGAUCAGGAGUUACUCAAAUCCCAGCCAUCGGAAGGAAUCUUAAGCCACAUAUGAUUUCAGAGAAAGUUUCUGCUUUAUAGGGCAAAGGGGUGCCUAGGACUGAGCCUUGUAUGUGCUAAAUGCCUUGUACUAUUGAAAUGAACGAAUAAAGAGGUUUGUGGACAGCAAGCUAUAGUUCAAACUCACAUAUCCUGAGAAAGACAAGUAAUGGAUUUUCCAUUUUCAUCUAUCAGAUGGGCAAAGACCAAAAAGUUUAGUAAUCCACUGUGUUGGAGAGGGUGUGAGAAAAUACACUACCUCAUACAUUGCUGGUGAAGCUGUGGAGACUACCAAAUGGACUCGUCUAGAUUUCACAUGCAACGUGGCUCUGCCUUCCCUGAGCACUCUGGGCCUUUCCAUGGAGACAGAAUGAAUAGAUAAUGGUGAGUAGGGGGGAGCUAUA
rnacentral:lncRNA from 10 species